AGAGUUUGAUCCUGGCUCAGGACGAACGCUGGCGGCGUGCCUAAUACAUGCAAGUAGAACGCUGAAGAGAGGAGCUUGCUCUUCUUGGAUGAGUUGCGAACGGGUGAGUAACGCGUAGGUAACCUGCCUUGUAGCGGGGGAUAACUAUUGGAAACGAUAGCUAAUACCGCAUAACAAUGGAUGACCCAUGUCAUUUAUUUGAAAGGGGCAAAUGCUCCACUACAAGAUGGACCUGCGUUGUAUUAGCUAGUAGGUGAGGUAACGGCUCACCUAGGCGACGAUACAUAGCCGACCUGAGAGGGUGAUCGGCCACACUGGGACUGAGACACGGCCCAGACUCCUACGGGAGGCAGCAGUAGGGAAUCUUCGGCAAUGGGGGCAACCCUGACCGAGCAACGCCGCGUGAGUGAAGAAGGUUUUCGGAUCGUAAAGCUCUGUUGUAAGUCAAGAACGAGUGUGAGAGUGGAAGGUUCACACUGUGACGGUAGCUUACCAGAAAGGGACGGCUAACUACGUGCCAGCAGCCGCGGUAAUACGUAGGUCCCGAGCGUUGUCCGGAUUUAUUGGGCGUAAAGCGAGCGCAGGCGGUUUGAUAAGUCUGAAGUUAAAGGCUGUGGCUCAACCAUAGUCCGCUUUGGAAACUGUCAAACUUGAGUGCAGAAGGGGAGAGUGGAAUUCCAUGUGUAGCGGUGAAAUGCGUAGAUAUAUGGAGGAACACCGGUGGCGAAAGCGGCUCUCUGGUCUGUAACUGACGCUGAGGCUCGAAAGCGUGGGGAGCGAACAGGAUUAGAUACCCUGGUAGUCCACGCCGUAAACGAUGAGUGCUAGGUGUUGGAUCCUUUCCGGGAUUCAGUGCCGCAGCUAACGCAUUAAGCACUCCGCCUGGGGAGUACGACCGCAAGGUUGAAACUCAAAGGAAUUGACGGGGGCCCGCACAAGCGGUGGAGCAUGUGGUUUAAUUCGAAGCAACGCGAAGAACCUUACCAGGUCCUGACAUCCCGAUGCUAUUUCUAGAGAUAGAAAGUUACUUCGGUACAUCGGUGACAGGUGGUGCAUGGUUGUCGUCAGCUCGUGUCGUGAGAUGUUGGGUUAAGUCCCGCAACGAGCGCAACCCCUAUUGUUAGUUGCCAUCAUUCAGUUGGGCACUCUAGCGAGACUGCCGGUAAUAAACCGGAGGAAGGUGGGGAUGACGUCAAAUCAUCAUGCCCCUUAUGACCUGGGCUACACACGUGCUACAAUGGUUGGUACAACGAGUUGCGAGUCGGUGACGGCAAGCUAAUCUCUUAAAGCCAAUCUCAGUUCGGAUUGUAGGCUGCAACUCGCCUACAUGAAGUCGGAAUCGCUAGUAAUCGCGGAUCAGCACGCCGCGGUGAAUACGUUCUCGGGCCUUGUACACACCGCCCGUCACACCACGAGAGUUUGUAACACCCGAAGUCGGUGAGGUAACCUUUUGGAGCCAGCCGCCUAAGGUGGGAUAGAUGAUUGGGGUGAAGUCGUAACAAGGUA
rnacentral:rRNA from 1 species